rnacentral:rRNA from 1 species
UACCAGCACCCCGAGUGGUCGGGACGUUUUAUUGGGCCUAAAGCAUCCGUAGCCGGUUCUACAAGUCUUCCGUUAAAUCCACCUGCUUAACAGAUGGGCUGCGGAAGAUACUAUGGAGCUAGGAGGCGGGAGAGGCAAGCGGUACUCGAUGGGUAGGGGGUAAAAAUCCGUUGAUCCAUUGAAGACCACCAGUGGCGAAGGCGGCUUUGCCAGAACGCGCUCGACGGUGAGGGGAUGAAAAGCUGGGGGGGAGCAAACCG